GAUGAACGCUAGCGGCAGGCUUAAUACAUGCAAGGCGAAGGGGCAGCAAUGUCACUGUCGUACGGGUGCGUAACGCGUAUGCAACCUACCUAUCACUGGGGGAUAGCCCGGGGAAACCCGGAUUAAUACCGCAUAAUACAGGGGUACAGCAUUGUACUAUUUGUUAAAGAUUUAUCGGUGGUAGAUGGGCAUGCGUUCGA
rnacentral:rRNA from 1 species